rnacentral:misc_RNA from 1 species
UCCCCUGCAGGUGACACUGCCUCAGUUUAUCCCCUCCAGUUACUUCUGUUCUUGUAUAUACACAUGCUUUUUAAUUAUAGUUGGCAGGGACACCACAAAGGAAGGAUCCAACACACACAGGAACAAUCUUUACUACAUACACCACUUAGAUCACAACAUUACCACAGGACACCAUUGAGAAAGCUCAGAGAAAUCCAUUAUAAUCUGAUCUCUCUCAGCACUACUUGGCUUUUGUGUCAUCUUUGCCUUCUGGUGACAUGUUCUUCGAACUGGAUGAUUUUCCAAUGAUCGCUUUCUUUACCUUUACAAUGGAAUGCUUCACCUUUGACAUUAUGCUGUUCGAUUGCCGCUGAGAUGACUUCACUGGUACCUCCGCUUCCUGACCCUCUCCUACUGUCUUUGUUUGAUCAUCAUCUUUUGCGACUUCUGUUUUCUCUCCCUCGUUCUCAUCCUUCCUUUGUUCUGAAUCUUUAUUCACCGACUUGUCAAUAAUAGUCUCUGUAGCUUCUGCUGCAUUUGGUUCCGACUCUGCCUCCUUGACAGGUGAAUCCAUAUCGAAAUCUCUCGAGGUCUCAACCAGGGUUGUCUUGUCAUCUUCCGUUGCAUCCUUCACUCCCUUACUUGCGACUUCCGCAACAAGAGGAGCUUCAACAUCUUUCGAUGUCUCAUCCAAACUCUCACUCUUCUCAGACUUCUCAGCAAUUUCAGUAGCAGUUUCAGCAUUCGAUGCAUCACUCACUAUUGGCUCUUUUUCUAGUGCAACCUUCUCUUCCUUAUCUUGUCCUCCGGUCAAUAUCUUUAACGCUUCUG